rnacentral:SRP_RNA from 1 species
GCUGGUUGAGAGUUUACCUCCUGUAAUCCCCGCUAUUGGGAGGCUGAGGCUUGUGGGCCUCGAGCUCAGGAGUUCCAAACUGCAACAGGCCAACCUGUCUGCACUCAGUUGGGCAUUAAUAUGGUGAGCCCCCCUGGGAGUGUGUGUGUUGGGGCACCAGGUUGCUCAAGAAGGGGUGGACUGGCCCAGUUCAGAAAUAAAGUAGAUCAAAUCUCCAAUGCUCAGCAGAGUGGAAUUAGUCCUUUGUAUUUCCAGCAUGGGUGAGCUAGAGAGACCAAGCAUUUA